CCUACGGGAGGCUGCAGUGGGGAAUCUUGCGCAAUGGGCGAAAGCCUGACGCAGCAACGCCGCGUGGGGGAUGAAGGCUCUCGGGUUGUAAACCCCUUUCAGCAGGGACGAAAUUGACGGUACCUGCAGAAGAAGCCCCGGCUAACUACGUGCCAGCAGCCGCGGUAACACGUAGGGGGCAAGCGUUGUCCGGAUUUAUUGGGCGUAAAGAGCUCGUAGGUGGCUAAGUAAGUCGGGUGUCAAAUCCCCAGGCUCAACCUGGGUCUCCACCCGAUACUGCUUUGGCUAGAGUCCGGUAGGGGAGCGUGGAAUUCCUGGUGUAGCGGUGAAAUGCGCAGAUAUCAGGAGGAACACCAGCGGCGAAGGCGGCGCUCUGGGCCGGUACUGACACUGAGGAGCGAAAGCGUGGGUAGCAAACAGGAUUAGAUACCCUUGUAGUC
rnacentral:rRNA from 1 species